GGAGCGGGCCGGAUGGUCGCGCGUCUUUUGGCCCCUUUGGGGCACGGAGGGCGUGAGGAAAGUCCGGACUCCACAGGGCAGGAUGCCAGCUAACGGCUGGGCGGGGCGACCCGACGGAAAGUGCCACAGAAAAGAAAACUCUCCCCUUGCCCCCUCUGCUCAAUGAGCGGAGGAGAGGCUCAUAUGUUGUGGGAGAAAAGCUGAAACGGUGCGGUAAGAGCGCACCAGCGUCGCGGUAACGCGGCGGCUUGGCAAACCCCAUCCGGUGCAAGGGCGAAUAGGAGCGCGAACGGUCGGCCCGGCCGGCGCUCGGGUUGCCCGCGAGAGGGCAGCGGCGACGCUGCUCCCAGAUAAAUGGCCAUCUGAGACAGAAUCCGGCUUACCCGCCCGCUCCAGGC
rnacentral:RNase_P_RNA from 1 species